AUUGAACGCUGGCGGCAGGCCUAACACAUGCAAGUCGAGCGAGAGGCGGACGGGUGAGUAAUGUCUGGGAAACUGCCUGAUGGAGGGGGAUAACUCCUGGAAACGGUCGCUAAUACCGCAUACCAUCAGAUGUGCCCAGAUGGGAUUAGCUAGUAGGGGGGGUAAUGGCUCACCUAGGCGACGAUCCCUAGCUGGUCGGGGAGGCUGACCAGCCACACUGGAACUGAGACACGGUCCAUGCUCCUACGUGAGGCAGCAUUGGGGAAUAGUGCACAAUGGGCGCAAGCCUGAUGCAGCCAUGCCGCGUGUGUGAAGAAGGCCUUCGGUUUGUAAAGCACUUUCAGCGAGGAGGCGUUACUCGCAGAAGAAGCACCGGCUAACUCCGUGCCAGCCGCCGCGGUAAUUC
rnacentral:rRNA from 1 species